rnacentral:rRNA from 1 species
AUUGAACGCUGGCGGCAGGCCUAACACAUGCAAGUCGAACGGUAACAGGAAGCAGCUUGCUGCUUCGCUGACGAGUGGCGGACGGGUGAGGAAUGUCUGGGAAGCUGCCUGAUGGAGGGGGAUAACUACUGGAAACGGUAGCUAAUACCGCAUAAUGUCGCAAGACCAAAGAGGGGGACCUUCGGGCCUCUUGCCAUCGGAUGUGCCCAGAUGGGAUUAGCUUGUUGGUGGGGUAACGGCUCACCAAGGCGACGAUCCCUAGCUGGUCUGAGAGGAUGACCAUCCACACUGGCACUGAGACACGGUCCAGACUCCUACGGGAGGCAGCAGUGGGGAAUAUUGCACAAUGGGCGCAAGCCUGAUGCAGCCAUGCCGCGUGUAUGAAGAAAGCCUUCGGGUUGUAAAGUACUUUCAGCGGGGAGGAAGAGAGUAAAGUUAAUACCUUUGCUGAUUGACGUUACCCGCAGAAGAAGCACCGGCUAACUCCGUG